rnacentral:rRNA from 1 species
UGGCUGUCGUCAGCUCGUGUCGUGAGAUGUUGGUUAAGUCCGUAACGAGCGCAACCCUUGUCCUUAGUUACCAGCACGUAAUGGUGGGCACUCUAAGGAGACUGCCGGUGACAAACCGGAGGAAGGUGGGGAUGACGUCAAGUCAUCAUGGCCCUUACGGCCAGGGCUACACACGUGCUACAAUGGUCGGUACAGAGGGUUGUCAAGCCGCGAGGUGGAGCUAAUCUCACAAAAACCGAUCGUAGUCCGGAUCGCAGUCUGCAACUCGACUGCGUGAAGUCGGAAUCGCUAGUAAUCGUGAAUCAGAAUGUCACGGUGAAUACGUUCCCGGGCCUU